UCGAGUUUUGUCGCAACAUAACUAAGCAAAUACCGCUAUCCAGAUAUGAAACUCAUCCUUGGAAACCCCACUAACAUCCUCCUUCUUCCCCUUCACACAGCUCCUGGCUGGUGACCACACAGCCAGUUUCACCCACAGUGAAACCCCAAUAACUGGUUUCUUCCCUCAUGUAACAACUCCUAAAAGGCCACUGCAAAUCCUUUCAACAAAAGCUGAGGACAUUUGUAGACAGACCGAUAUUAACUCCUUCCUGGGAACACUGUGUUUGCACCAUCACCUUGCAAGGAAAAGCAUGUUCCACCUGAUCUCCUCCUGCCCUGGAUCCCAUGCUCCAGGACUGGCUCCUCAGCAAAGUCUCUUUAGUUCCAGACCAGCUUAGUGCCAGGUGUUGGGCAAGUCACACCAGCCCGAGUUUCUGUCCCUUGUGGCACAGCAGCCUCAAACCAUAAUCCUGCAGCAUGUGGGGCAACAGGAGCCCCACAGCAGCUUGGACACGUGGCUUGCACCACUCAGGACAGGCUUGUUGGGUUUUUUCUCUUCAAAGGAAAAGGAAACGACACAAAAGAGUCUCCUUUGCCUCCAUCAAGCACUCAGGGUAAAGCCCACGAGCAAUCCCAAACCCCAGAUGGGGUGCAUGCCACAUCCUCACUGGCACCUCCCUGUACCUGAGACGAUGGAUCCAUCCCCUGGCAAGACUGAAAUGUCUAAGUAGCAAGUCUCAUUUUCAGUUGCUCAUAAAUUUACCAAGGGUUAACUGAUCAGCCCUAAUUUUCCUUGGCAAAUACAUCAGCUGGACUGGAUAUAUUGA